GUCUAUGGCCGUACCACACUGCGCCUCAUCUCGUCUGAUCUCGGAAGCUAAGCAGGGUCGGGCCUGGUCAGUACUUGGAUGGGAGACAUACAAGACUUUUCAAAGCCU
rnacentral:rRNA from 1 species